GUUCAGGUUGACGCACCAUAGGUCUUCUCCCGUGUUCCCCGUCUCUCCUUGGGCACAUGAACCCUGACGCGUCCUCUUAUCGAACCCAUCUCCUCACCUCGGUGACUCAAAAAGGUCUCGAACUGCUCAGAAGCACCGGCAACAACAAUGACAGCACCUGUUUUGGAGCUGAACUGUGACGUGACUCCCACUUGGAACGUGGCAAAAACAGGAGAGUGAUCGCUGGUGAAUAUGUCAUCCGUGCAACCUGGUCUUACCAUACGCUGUGCAGAAGAUGUGUGUCUCUGGGUAAGACUUCCACAGAAUUCGAUCACACCACGAUGGCACAUUGACUCGUACCUACAGGAACAGAUUCAGCUAUAAAACACCAAUGUAUUGUACAACAAAUAAAAUUGCCAGAUGUAGAAA